rnacentral:rRNA from 1 species
AGGGCACCACCAGGAGUGGAGCCUGCGGCUUAAUUUGACUCAACACGGGAAAACUCACCCGGCCCGGACACUGUAAGGAUUGACAGACUGAGAGCUCUUUCUUAAUUCAGCGGGUGGUGGUGCAUGGCCGUUCUUAGUUGGUGGAGCGAUUUGUCUGGUUAAUUCCGAUAACGAACGAGACUCUAGCCUACUAAAUAGUUCGCACAUUGUCUCUGUGUGUGUGACUUCUUAGAGGGAUUUUCGGUGUUCAGCCGCACGAAAUUGAGCAGUAACAGGUCUGUGAUGCCCUUAGAUGUCCGGGGCUGCACGCGCGCUACACUGGCAAAAUCAGCGUGCUUGUCCUUCCCCGAAAGGGGUUGGUAAACCCUUGAAAAUUUGCCGUGAUUGGGAUUGGAAAUUGCAAUUAUUUUCCAUGAACGAGGAAUUCCAAGUAAGUGCGAGUCAUCAGCUCGCGUUGAUUACGUCCCUGCCCUUUGUACACACCGCCCGUCGCUGCCCGGGACUGAGCCAUUUCGAGAA